rnacentral:rRNA from 1 species
AGGACGAACGCUGGCGGCGUGCUUAACACAUGCAAGUCGAGCGGAAAGGCCCUUCGGGGUACUCGAGCGGCGAACGGGUGAGUAACACGUGGGCAAUCUGCCCCUCGCUCUGGGAUAACUCCGGGAAACCGGGGCUAAAUACCGGAUAUGACCUUCUUAGGCAUCUUUGAAGGUGGAAAGUUUUUUCGGCGAGGGAUGAGCCCGCGGCCUAUCAGCUUGUUGGUGGGGUAAUGGCCUACCAAGGCAGUGACGGGUA